rfam:Daphnia pulex DAPPTscaffold_203_Cont7077, whole genome shotgun sequence.
GGGGUUGUAACUCAGUGGUAGAGUGUUCGAUUUGCAUGCAAAAAGCCCGGAGUUCAAUCCUUCGCAACUCCA